AGAGUUGACCAGGCAAUCGCUAUUGCCCUGCUUAUGGCAGCGGCGGUAGAGGAAAGUCCGGGCUCCAUAGGGCAGAGUGCCAGGUAACGCCUGGGAGGCGUGAGCCUACGGAAAGUGCAGCAGAGAAUAGACCGCCAAAGUCCUGGUUCGCCAGUUCAAUGGUAAGGGUGAAAAGGUGCGGUAAGAGCGCACCGCGCGACCGGUAACGGUUCGUGGCAGUGUAAACCCCACUCGGAGCAAGACCAAAUAGGAAUCCAUCGUUGCGGCCC
rnacentral:RNase_P_RNA from 1 species